rnacentral:rRNA from 1 species
AACGAACGCUGGCGGCAUGCCUAACGCAUGCAAGUCGAACGAGACCUUCGGGUCUAGUGGCGCACGGGUGCGUAACGCGUGGGAACCUGCCCUUAGGUUCGGAAUAACUCCCCGAAAGGGGUGCUAAUACCGGAUAAUGUCUUCGGACCAAAGAUUUAUCGCCUUUGGAUGGGCCCGCGUUGGAUUAGCUAGUUGGUAGGGUAAAAGCCUACCAAGGCGACGAUCCAUAGCUGGUCUGAGAGGAUGAUCAGCCACACUGGGACUGAGACACGGCCCAGACUCCUACGGGAGGCAGCAGUGGGGAAUAUUGGACAAUGGGCGAAAGCCUGAUCCAGCAAUGCCGCGUGAGUGAUGAAGGCCUUAGGGUUGUAAAGCUCUUUUAACCGGGAUGAUAAUGACAGUACCGGGAGAAUAAGCGCCGGCUAACUCCGUG